GCAAAUGUCGAGGAUUCCAAACUUGCGUCAGCUGGUGUCUCAUUUGUCAUCGAUUUCAAAGAUGGGGAUACGACCAGAAUGCCAUCUAGACUGGCAGACCGGCUUAAUGGAACUGACAAACAAACCGAGGAUAAUAAUGAGAUCAUCUACACAUCUGAGGAAAAAGAGAUUUUAGCCGAGCUUCUUCGUAACGACAUUUUACGUGAGAAGAGAGAGAAGGCAGCUGGCCUCUCUGGAGCUAAAUUCUAAUCAGGUUCUCCACGACUUAAAUGCUGAUUAACUGCAUCGCAUUAUCACCACGCCUCUUUUCUUAACCUUUUUGUUUUG